rnacentral:rRNA from 1 species
GCAAGUCGAGGGAGAGCUUUAGCUUCGGCUAAAAGGAAACCGGCGCACGGGUGAGUAACGCGUACACAACCUACCCUUAACAGGGGGAUAGCCUCGUGAAACUGAGAUUAAUACCCCAUAAUAUUGACAGAUUGCAUAUGAAUUCAAUUAAAGCUCCGGCGGUUAAAGAUGGGUGUGCGUCCCAUUAGCUAGAUGGUGAGGUAACGGCUCACCAAGCGACGAUGGGUAGGGGGCGUGAGAGCGAGAUC